CUGAAAGGUGCAGGAAUGUACAAACGAUACAGGAGAGCCAACGGAAUUAGAUGGAUGCAGAGGUAACAGUUCUAUUGGCUCGUAUCAACUCUGACAAGAUCACCUAUUUGUGUGUAUUGAUUAACACAUAAUCCAUAGGAAGGUGACUACAAGAGAAAGCUGGAUCAGACAGUAGAAGGCAAACAACUACUGUUUUCCCCAGGAUGUUGUGCAUUCCGUUGUGGUGACAUUCUCUUUGCAGUGAUGACACGUGCAAAUUAAAGCUACCCUUCUCCUCUUCUUCUGCUAAAACUCACGGAGUUGUAUGUGCUAUGAUAACCACAAGUACUGUGC